UGGGGAAUAUUGGACAAUGGGGGCAACCCUGAUCCAGCAAUGCCGCGUGUGUGAAGAAGGUCUUCGGAUUGUAAAGCACUUUCGACGGGGACGAUGAUGACGGUACCCGUAGAAGAAGCCCCGGCUAACUUCGUGCCAGCAGCCGCGGUAAUACGAAGGGGGCUAGCGUUGCUCGGAAUGACUGGGCGUAAAGGGCGUGUAGGCGGUUUACACAGUCAGAUGUGAAAUCCCCGGGCUUAACCUGGGAGCUGCAUUUGAUACGUGUAGACUAGAGUGUGAGAGAGGGUUGUGGAAUUCCCAGUGUAGAGGUGAAAUUCGUAGAUAUUGGGAAGAACACCGGUGGCGAAGGCGGCAACCUGGCUCAUGACUGA
rnacentral:rRNA from 1 species